AUACAUGCAAGUUGAGCGCUGAAGGUUGGUACUUGUACCAACUGGAUGAGCAGCGAACGGGUGAGUAACGCGUGGGGAAUCUGCCUUUGAGUGGGGGACAACAUUUGGAAACGAAUGCUAAUACCGCAUAAAAACUUUAAACACAAGUUUUAAGUUUGAAAGAUGCAAUUGCAUCACUCAAAGAUGAUCCCGCGUUGUAUUAGCUAGUUGGUGAGGUAAAGGCUCACCAAGGCGAUGAUACAUAGCCGACCUGAGAGGGUGAUCGGCCACAUUGGGACUGAGACACGGCCCAAAUCUCCUACGGGAGGCAGCAGUAGGGAAUCUUCGGCAAUGGACGAAAGUCUGACCGAGCAACGCCGCGUGAGUGAAGAAGGUUUUCGGAUCGUAAAACUCUGUUGGUAGAGAAGAACGUUGGUGAGAGUGGAAAGCUCAUCAAGUGACGGUAACUACCCAGAAAGGGACGGCUAACUACGUGCCAGCAGCCGCGGUAAUACGUAGGUCCCGAGCGUUGUCCGGAUUUAUUGGGCGUAAAGCGAGCGCAGGUGGUUUAUUAAGUCUGGUGUAAAAGGCAGUGGCUCAACCAUUGUAUGCAUUGGAAACUGGUAGACUUGAGUGCAGGAGAGGAGAGUGGAAUUCCAUGUGUAGCGGUGAAAUGCGUAGAUAUAUGGAGGAACACCGGUGGCGAAAGCGGCUCUCUGGCCUGUAACAUGACACUGA
rnacentral:rRNA from 1 species